rnacentral:rRNA from 1 species
CUGGAAUCGCUAGUAAUCGCGAAUCAGAAUGUCGCGGUGAAUACGUUCCCGGGUCUUGUACACACCGCCCGUCACACCAUGGGAGUCAGCAACGCCCGAAGUCAGUGACCUAACCUUAUAGGGAGGAGCUGCCGAAGGCGGGGCCGGUAACUGGGGUGAAGUCGUAACAAGGUACC